UUUGGCUAGCACUUGCAGGACGGUUUUAUUGCCUCUCUGCAGGCACUGGGUGGGGAGAGGCUUUAUUUUAAAGUGCUUUAACUGCUUCAUUUCAGUCUUUGUCGGUUGUGUUUCCUUUCAUACAUACUUUUUUGGCUUUCAUUUCCCAGGGCUCCCUCUUAUCUGCCUUUGGAGAGAGUCCUUGUAAAAAAAAAAAAAAAAAAAAGAAAAAUCAAAACCCAAAGCACUCUCCCUGGGAUGCUUUCAAGAGAAAGGCCCCUGCCCCCUUUCAAACCUCUUUUGAGAAAAAUAGAUCCCAACCCUGCAUAUGCCACAGCCUACAGGAAAGUCUUUGAAGUAAAUUAAACCAAAUUAGUGUCUAUGAUAUAGAUGAGCAGAGGAGCUCCCCGCUGUGUCACUGGCCUGGCCCUUUGCGUAAUCUUUAACCCCUCUCCCUUGCUCCACGCUCGCCUCUAAUUGACCGUGAAGCACCUGGGGGUGAUUUGGAGGCGAUCCCAUCUGCCCUUGUGCAGGGCAGGAUUUCCUACCGCCCACACCAAGGGGCUGGGUAGUAUUUAAUAGGCCUGGGAGUAAGCUGGGAUAAUGAAUUACCUUCCACCUCCCUUUCCUUGUGUUCAGUAUCUAAUUUUGGUGGUUUUUUUCUUCGCUCUUAUUCCCUCUUAAUGAGAGACCCCCUGAGCCCAGGGGCACCCCAGCAUUGCCCCGGUGCCCCUGGCUGUGCUGGUGGAGGUGGAGCUGCACCUGACCCCUUUGCAGCCGAGGAGCAGGUGGAGCAGGAGGUUCCUGAGCCCUGACAGUUGCUAAAUCUCUGUGGGGUGUGCUUUCCUAAUGCCCUGCGCAGCUCUUUGUGUGCCUGACCCGGGACUCAAGGAACCAGCUGAAUUUGGCCAUGAACUGGGAUGAGAUUCAGGUGACCUUCCAGGGGGCUGAACUCCAUUUAGAUGGGAUGAGUUGACAGCGCGUGAAAUACGGUGGAUUAAUUCACACUUCAUUGUUGGUAGACAUGAGGCCGAAGGUCGAGGUCCAUUAAGAAAACUAGUAGCUGAAAUGGUCCAAGUAAGCCAGAGACAAGUCUAUCAGAGUGAUCUGCUUAACAUCUGCCUUGGAAAGACAAAGCCAUGCU